AUCAUUUAGUUCUACUUUUCUAUCAGUUUGGACACAAACUGCUUUGGUGCAUAAUUUUUCUUUGGUGAUUUCUACCAGUUGGUCUUGGAGUUACAGGAUGAUGGGAGGCUUGCCACAUCUGAUGAUCCUUCUGUUAUAUUUGGCUGGUUGAAUGAGGAUUUCAUCCAAAAGACUGGACUGCAUGCUGGAAAUCUUUUACGCUUUGCUGUUAAUGAUGGCGGGUUAAGUUUUGUAGAUGGAAAGUUAGAGAAGGCAGAUUUGCAAUACCUUGGCCAAUCCAAUCGUGCGCGUGCAUUUGCGGAUAGUUACUCCAAGGUAAUGUUCCAGUACAUUGUCCGGCACUCUCCCUUGAAAAUUGAACAUCUUUUUGCAUCAAUUGGCCCUUUAGGUGAUGGUGAUAUUGCCAGCCAUGAUGUGGAAAUGGCGGCCUAAACACGUUU